UACGGAGGGUGCGAGCGUUGUCCGGAAUCACUGGGCGUAAAGGGCGCGUAGGCGGCUUUUUAAGGGUGCGGUGAAAGCCCGGGGCUUAACCCCGGGUCGGCCGUGCCGACUGAAAAGCUGGAGCACUGUAGAGGCAGGUGGAAUUCCGGGUGUAGCGGUGGAAUGCGUAGAGAUCCGGAAGAACACCAGUGGCGAAGGCGGCCUGCUGGGCAGUUGCUGACGCUGG
rnacentral:rRNA from 1 species